UUGGAGGGCAAGUCUGGUGCCAGCAGCCGCGGUAAUUCCAGCUCCAAUAGCGUAUAUUAAAGUUGUUGCAGUUAAAAAGCUCGUAGUUGAAUUUCGGGGUUAGUAGGUUGGUCAUGCCUCUGGUAUGUACUGGUCUCACUGAUUCCUCCUUCCUGAUGAGCCGUAAUGCCAUUAAUUUGGUGUUGCGGGGAAUUUGGACUGUUACUUUGAAAAAAUUAGAGUGUUUAAAGCAAGCUAACGCUUGAAUACAUUAGCAUGGAAUAAUGAAAUAGGACGUUCGAUCCUAUUUUGUUGGUUUCUAGGAUUGACGUAAUGAUUAAUAGGGAUAGUUGGGGGCAUUAGUAUUCAAUUGUCAGAGGUGAAAUUCUUGGAUUUAUUGAAGACUAACUACCGCGAAAGCAUUUGCCAAGGAUGUUUUCAUUAAUCAAGAACGAAAGUUAGGGGAUCGAAGACGAUCAGAUACCGUCGUAGCCUUAACCAUAAACUAUGCCGACUAGGGAUCGGAUGAUGUUAAUUUUUUAAUGACUCAUUCGGCGCCUUACGGGAAAC
rnacentral:rRNA from 1 species